rnacentral:rRNA from 1 species
GUGGGGAAUAUUGGACAAUGGGCGCAAGCCUGAUCCAGCCAUGCCGCGUGAGUGAUGAAGGCCCUAGGGUUGUAAAGCUCUUUCACCGGUGAAGAUAAUGACGGUAACCGGAGAAGAAGCCCCGGCUAACUUCGUGCCAGCAGCCGCGGUAAUACGAAGGGGGCUAGCGUUGUUCGGAAUUACUGGGCGUAAAGCGCACGUAGGCGGACAUUUAAGUCAGGGGUGAAAUCCCAGAGCUCAACUCUGGAACUGCCUUUGAUACUGGGUGUCUUGAGUAUGGAAGAGGUAAGUGGAAUUCCGAGUGUAGAGGUGAAAUUCGUAGAUAUUCGGAGGAACACCAGUGGCGAAGGCGGCUUACUGGUCCAUUACUGACGCUGAGGUGCGAAAGCGUGGGGAGCAAACAGGAUUAGAAACCCUGGUAGUCC